GUAGUUGUGGCUUGUGGGCUCUAGAGCGCAGGCUCAGUAGUUGUGGUGCACGGGCUUAGUUGCUCCGCGGCAUGUGGGGUCUUCCCCGACCAGAGCUCGAGCCAGGGUCCCCUACAUUGGCCAGGGUCCCCUACAUUGGCAGGAAGAUUCUUAACCACUGCGCCACCAGGGAAGCCCCUAGCAAAGCAUUCUAAAAUCACAUGGAAGCUAGCAAACGCAGGGAGUACAGUUUUUCCCCUUUCUACCCUGAGUCAGGGAUCUUAGGGAGGUGGUGUUUCCAGGGCCAUGUCACCCCUUUGGUUACUGCUCGGCAGGGUGGCUCAGCCUCCAGCCCUGUUGGUCUGGCUGGGAAGCAGCUUCUCUCCACUAGAGGGCAGCAGCCUCCCUUAUUCAGAUCACUCUUUGGAAAUCCAGGGAGGCCUCUUGCUCUUUUAUGUUGGACUGGGCCUCCGGCCUCUAUUUUUAGGCCCUCUAUGUUGACCUUGAGUGUUCAGGCCUGGAGACCCCCCCUCCCCGGGUCAGGAAACGGCAUAUUCUCUUGGAGACCUUGGCCGAGACCCCCUCUGGGAGUCAAGUUCCUGCCGGAAAGCAGGCUGCGAGGGUGGGGUAAGACAGGUCACCUUUCACAGAGCAUUCAAGGCCCCUGGGGGUUGGGGGCUGGGUGGGGGGAAAGCAUGCCAUUGUCUCGUCACAUUUUAAGUUCUCAAAACUAAAGUAAAAUGUUAAAAUAAAAGAAAAAUUGCAAAGUCCAAAAAACAAAACAAAACAAAACUGCCUUUAUCUACUUUGCCUUCCUCUAUGGUACUUCCUAAAAAGUUGAGAAUUGUGUGGGAGGCACAGGAAGCCGUCCUCUCUGCUUCCUCACUUGAUUGUGUGACCUCUUGGUAGCAUUUAGACCAUGGAAGCUUUAAGAGUCACCAGAUAAAAGAGCAGACACCCAGGCCCCGCCCUCGGAGGUUCCAGCUCAGUAGGCCCAGGGUGUGGCCCAAGAGUCUGCCUUUUUGGCAAACACCUUAUUUGAUUCUCAGGCAGAGGAUCCUCAAACCACACGUUGAGAAACUUUCCACUGUACUACAUCCUCUGGUGCCAUUCACUUAAUCUGAGAGUCCUAAGCUAAGGACUCUGAAUGAUGCAUCACUUCAUGGCAUUGUGUGUGGCAAAGUGCUUUCAAAGAUGGCGUCAACACUUCCAUCCUCCCUGGAACCUCAUGCCACUCCUCCCAACAAGUGGUGGAAGAUAUCUCUCCUCCCCUUGAACCGAGCCUGUCUUUGUGACUUGAUUUGACCAAAAGAACGUGGAGGAAGGGAUGCUCUGCCAGGCCCAGGCCUUAUGAGACCUGAUAGUGUCUGCUUUUGGCCUCUUGGGAUUUGGCCACCACGGAUAAGCUCAGGCCAGAGAGCUGAAUGACAAGAGCCUGCCUGGGGAGGGAGAGGCCCGGUCAGCUCCCUGCUCUUCCAGCCCCAGCCAAGGAGCCAGACAUGGGAGUGAAGCCAUCCUGGAUGUUCCAGCUCCGGCCGAGCUCUCAGCUAAAUGCAGCCACGUGAGUGACCUCAGCCAACUCCAUACAGAGCAGAAGAACUAACCUCCCGGCCGAGGCCAGCCAACCCACAGAAUCAUGAAAAAUAAUAAAUUUGUAUUGUUUUAAGCCACUAAGUAUUAGGGUAGUUUGCUGUACAGAAGCAGAUAUCUAAUGCAGUCAGGAACAGUGAUGGAUGGUAAUGCCCUCCUAGAAACACUUGAAACAACACUUCAGAAAGGAAAGGACACACAGCCUCCACAAUACCCUGAAGCCCUGUCUGCUCCUCUGUGAAUUUUCAGAUGUUUGUUAAACUCACUCCUACUAGAGGAAGCAGAACCCAGGGUGCAGUCCCCGGCCACGAGGGGCCUCGUCAGGGGCUCUCGAGAACUCAGUGUGAGGGUUGGUUCAGGGAAGAAAGGGGCCCCAGACCCUCGUAGUUCCCUUUCUCCCUGUGGCCUUUCAAAGGGAGGGUCUCACACAGAAAGGAGUCAUAGCUGAAGAAUCUGAGUCUCUAAGGAGACCUAGGGCCCUAUAGGAGGUUAGGAGCUUCUGAGAGCCGAGUUUCCUUAGGAAGACCCAGAUGAGAAAUAAUGCAGGAGUUCCCAUGUUCAAGGCGUGAUCCGUAGCAUGUAACAGUUACUCACAAAGGUGUUUGUUAAAUCAAUCAAUUUCUGCCUGAGUUAUCUGGACGUUUCAUUAGGUUCAGGGAAUCCAAGACCGGUGCUAAGGUAUCCCCCAGGCAUGGACAAUCCACUUGGACAGUUCCUGGGGCAUCAUACACACUCUCCAGACCAGAGAGAGCCACAGGAAAUUGAAUCUGGAGCUGAAUUGUUGGCCUGUUGUAGACUUGACCUUCACCUACCAUUGAACCACAUGGUGGGGUGAGCUUGGGUCAUCAGCAUAAGCCCAUCACUUGCAUUUCUUUCCUGAAGACCCCCUCAUCUUCAAAUCUCCAGGUCAUGCAAAAAAGAUCUCCUCUAGCAGUUACUCAUUUGAAUUGGGGAGGACUCCUAAUGGGAUGUAUGUAAAUUGUUGCUGUAAAUGUUUGAAUAACCAGGUGGUAAAAGCAAGGGGACCAGCAUUUCCUGAUAAAUAUGGGCGGUCAGCUGCCAGCAGAGGCUGUUUUGAAUUGGAUACGGUAAGCAGUGAGAACAAAAUGGCUUUGCCUCUAUUUCACCCGGAGUAUCCACUGGUUGACAAGCCCCUGAGAAGAAGGAAGACAGGGGACAAGAGGAGUGUCCUGUAUUGGGGCCAGAAGAUGCUUCUGGCCCUCAUCUUAAUCUUUCAGUGUUUACAAUGGCCCCGGCCCAUUUUCUGGGUCUUCGUGUUCCCUGUGCAUGCAUUUGAGGUGGGUUUCCGUAGAGUCACCUCUCAGAAAACAGAGGAAGGGGAAAGAGGUGGAAACGUGGUACCACGGGAGUCUUUCUGCAAGAAGGGCCAUGAGCGAGUGGCAAAGGCAAGGGAGGCCAGGGCACAGGCCAGCAGUCGAUGUGGAGCAGUGCAAAGGGGGUGUCGAAAAGAGUUAUCACUUUCUAAAUUGGCUUGUGCCUUUUUGCACAAAUCAAAAGGCCGUGUCCCUCUGCUUAUGCAAGAUCUCUCCGUGUAUGCAAGCUGUUUUGAAAUGCUUUAAGUGCUGCAUGAACCACAGGUGGAAUGACUGCUGUUAUUAGCUCUGUCUGGAAGAUGGCCACACCCUCUGGCAUCUGACUGAGUAGGAAAAAGGCCCCAGGGUAUCCUGUGCUGGGGACACCAGGUGACCGUACAGAGUCCACACCAGCCGGGAGAUCCCAACAGGUGCAGGGCUGAUGGGAAAUGAGCAAGCUUGGACGGUUUUCCUGCGUAGAUGGAGCGUCCGGCUGAGUCACUCUUCCCUCUGCCUGGGGGAGUGAAGUCACAAGUUCUUUGCUCUGUCUUGCCAGCCCUUCUCUUCCCUCCCCGUAGCACUCUUGCCUUCUCUAGGACAGCAAACUAAACAUAACUGGAAUCCAGAACACACUUUAACGGACUUUUCCUCAUAUACUUAAUAUCUAAGAAAAAGCGUCACAUGGCAAACAGACACCUCCCAAAACAAGAGCCAACCACUUGGCAAAACCAAGCUAUUAUCAAGGAUUUUUAGAAGAAAACAAGAGGUGAAGUAUAAUGUAGGGUCAAAGACAAGUCCAGAGCAAUCCUACCCUUAAUACUUUUAUAGGCUGAAAAAUGAGAUUGAUAUUCUUUUUUUUUUUUUUUUUUUGCAGUACGCGGGCCUCUCCCGUUGCGGAGCACAGGCUCUGGACGCGCAGGCUCAGCGGCCAUGGCUCA